GGUAUCAAACUAACUUAAGUCCCAACGUUCUUUGUGCGAAGAUUGAAAAUUGAACAAAUUUGUUAUCCACUUCUGCAAAACUCAAUCAAUCAAAAUGUGUUUUAAAUUUGUCCGUUUGAAUGACUGCAAAUAGAACCGAUUCCUACCUAUUUGCAUGACAGAACCAACAAACACACACAAACACAGAGCCACUCACAGUAAACAAAUCGCUCGAUUAUGCCUUUCAACUCAUUCUCCGGAUUGUGUAUGUCAAUAUUUAGAAGCAGCAAAGCAGAAAAGAAAUAAUAACAUGAAACUGUUGUUUUAUUUAUAAUUCACUAUCUUGCUCGGGGGCACCGUGUCUCGCUCGUUCGCUUCUCUCACAUGACCGUAUGGAUUCUCGCAGGCGACGUUUCGCUAUCCUAUUACAUCUGACGUUAGCGUUAUUUACAUGAAACCGAUAUGUGGCGCCUGGUGGACCAGCCUGCUAAUUUAUUGUUAUUAUGCUCUUCUUCUCAGUGGAGCUUCAGUCAAGUGUAACGUUAUCUCCAUCUCGUGCAAGUCGGCCACACAGACACUCACGAUGCGAUUACGAAAACCAUGUGAGCAAUGCAACUGCAAGUGAGUUUUGCAGCUUGCCUGCCGCAAAGUGCACCCUCAACAGCAACACCACCAUCACCACCACCACCACUACCGUCAGUGAAGUGAAACGUUAUCGGGUUCCCUUGCUACGGUGGAGCCUCGCACCAUCAGUUACCGCCUAAGAUUGCAUGCGUUGUUAAAUGAGUCUCCCGUCACGCAAUGCCCAAACUGGUGUAACGCAUCAAAGAUGAUAGUGAGUUUCUUCCCCGACAGUGUCUGGGGAUGUACAGUGAAGCAGCACCAAAAGCAGAAACACCUCCUGUACCAUAAGAUCAUCUACACCCUCAUUAGCGAUAAGUACAAAAAUCGAAUCCUGCGCAAGUCGUCCUUCGCGCUGCUGUAUUUGUCGUACGUGUUUAUUAAGAUGCUUCCGGUGACGCUCGCGAUCGAAACGCACACGGGCACGAAAGCGAUCACCUCGCUGGCGGUUAAAGCGCGCCCGCUACCGGAGAUGGUGGCACCAUCGCUGGACGACGAGGACGACGACUAUUUCGACGACUAUGUGGACGAGUACGAUAUAGUGAACAAUAAAUCGGCGAAGGGAAUGUACGUUGGGGCACCGUGCGAGUUUACGUGCCACGCCAAGCUCCAUCACGUGUACUGUGAUCCUACGACUAACACCUGCAGCUGCGAAAAAGAUUACGUCGUGCUGAUUGGAAUACUGAAAGGAUGUGCCAAGCCCAAAAAACUUGGGGAACAAUGCUUCUACGAUCAGACUUGCAUCUACAACGAUGAGCAUGCGCUGUGCGUGCAGAUCGUCCACAAUGCCAUCUGUCAGUGUGCGCCCGGUUUCCACUCCGUUAGCUAUUCGAAGCCAACGAAACGUGUCUUCUGCACACAAGACAUGGCCACCAUAACUGCGGAUCUUCCGACGCUGUUCGGUGUCACGAGCGGCAUUGCCGUGCUGGCGGGGCUCAUUUGCAUGGUGCUGCAUUUAUUUAGCAAAACAAAAUAUCCUCGACCUAGGCAUUUCGGCGAUGCGAACCUCGCACCGCCGAUCCUCUUUUCCAGUGAUACAGGGAUACCAUUGACAAUACAGUCGGCAAGACCGUCAUCUCGUUCCAGUCAGCGCUCGAGCGGUUCCAUCGGUUCCUAUGGCAAUCGGCGACCGUCCAGUGCGCCGCUGCACGGCUCCAAAGGGGUCCUGGUCUCGACCUCCCGUACAGGUGCGGCCCGAUCUGCCGCCAUAUUGCUUGUAUCAUGUCACAUAUCUGCAAUUAGAAAUAGUAAAUCCACUAGUACCGAUUCCCAGCACCCCAGCAGCUAUCUGAGCGACGACAAUAUGACCAAAUAUCUCGAGCGCCAGCUGGAGCACCAGAAGCAGCUGCUCUACCUGGACAUACCGUCGCUCAGAACGCACAAUAAGUUGUUUUCCAAGUUUUGCAAAGCCACCGCGCUGAUCGGCAGCAACCACACGAACGUGAACGUCGGCAGGGCUGACAAUGGGACCGGCGGCGGCGGCGGCGGCGGGCAUGCGGCCGGCGGCAGCAGCAGUGCUGGCGGUGGCAGCAACGGCCAGUACCACGCACCGUACCACUACGGUACCUCCACCAACGAUGAUUCGAGCUUCGACGACGAGGACGGACACGGUACGGCCGACCCGUUCGUCAAUCACUGCUACAGCUACGAUCUGCACGACAGCAUCGAGCUGGGCGCGCUGCCGACGCCGGCGAGCGAGGUGGCAAACGUUGCGGUUCCCGAAGACCAAGUUUAGCUUCCGUGCACAGUACCAGCUCGUCCGUGCGGAGCUACAGUAUGCGUCGGUUCGAGCAGGAGAUACAGCAGAAGGAGCUGCGGCAGGAGAUGAAGCGCCAUCUGGCCCGGCUCCAGGAGCAGCAGCAGUUGCAGAAGAUCAAACCGAACAUCAUCAUCGGUGAUGUGAUAUCGUGCCCUAUGAACAAACCGAUACUGACGACACCCAGCCCGAUGACGCCGAACUCGGUCGACGACAUACUACCGUCGGUGGACGAGACGCAGGAGUUCUCACCAAACCUUAGCCAACGAUCGGUUAGCGAUAGUACGGGCGGCUGUUUCGAUGGACCGUGCAGCUCGACGGAAUUGUUGAAAUAGUGGACGUACGUAGACAGGUGAUUGUAGGCAAAUGUUAUAUAGACGGAACACCCAUUUUAUGGAAGUUUUUAGACCAAUAAGCAACAAACCACAAAACCGAUCAAAACCUAGACAUACGACGUACGGCCGGGCGGGGCGAAUGGGUUCCAAUGGUGAGCACAAUGGUGGCCGCGGCACUUCGAAGAAUUCGCGUGGAACGGAUGGGCAUCGUCGUCGGCGAAUCACGAACGAUCGAGUAGAGUCCUAGAACAGCUUACGUUCCUUUCGUGGUCAUUCUUUAAAUUAAGUACACUUAAAUUGAGUUUAGAUAAAUAUUGAUUCUUCAGGAUAUAUGCACGACCCUCGUGGCAUAGAGUGAGGUUGCAUCAGCAAAGCAAUACAUAAUGUUCUAUUCAUCCGAGUUUUUGUUGACAUCAGUUUCAUCGUCAGUAAUGGUUUAAAAGCUCUCAUUUAUCAACACCCGAGCACGUAAUUAUCUGUGUAAGAAAAGAAAAGUAAAUAAUUUAACCUCAAGUAACGUCAGUUGUGUGAUAGUUCCCAAUAAUUUACCACGGAUCGUAGCAGUUCGAACGAUCGCGAUCGCACUCUUCAAAACGCACCAAACCGUUCCGGAAAAUGCUCUGGAACUAGCAGAAAACGGCCUCAGCAAACGUGUGCGUGGAAACAUUGUUGUAUCAUUCUUAUGACUACUCAUUAAAAAGAAAACAAACAGCCCAAAUACGCAUUAGCAGCACCAGCAAUAGCGCCAUCCCUUUUGUCUGCCAUAGCCGGCACCUCAGACCAGCGCAUAAGCUCUUUCUCUCUUAACAAGGUAACAGACGAUAGUUUAAAGCAACAGAGUACACACACUAGUCAGCGGUAUUGCCCUUUACUAAUGUUUGCAACAGUUAUGCAAGUAGCCUUUUUGACUGGACCGUGCGCGCACCGUGGUUGCGGUAUCGUUUUUUAACUUCAUCUCUAUAUUGAACCGUUUCAAAAGCGUUUUGUAACAACCGAUUCGAUUUGCAUACGAAAUCCCCAACCUACUCUAGUUACGAUUUAAAAAAAAAGCAACAACUUACUAAGCAGCAGCAACUUUAAUUCCAGACGUUUCAAUAGUAUUUUUAUGUAGAUGCAGCAGAUGCAACAAGAACCGUACAGUUAGUAGCAAAACAAUUAUGCCAGCAGCAGCAGCAGCAGACGGUGCAGAGUUGGUGCGAGCGAGUGCCGCCCGAGAGUGUGAAUCCGAGAGGCGAGAACUGCCGGCAGGAAAGAUGGCAAUGACGAAUCCUUAAAUCAGAAACAAACAAAAGAAACAAAAGAAGCAAACAAAAAAAGAAACGAAACAACCGUAAAACAAACCCAGUAACUUAGCACGUUCAUGUUGACUUCAAUGUUGUAUUAAUAUUAAGCAAGUAAUAAAACAUCAACGGAUUAUUCGUGCUCAGCCUUAGGCAAAUUAAAAAUUGAUAAGAUUCUCAGGAUCAGGUUUGUUGGUCGCGAGAGAAGCAUUGGACGAGGGGAGACGUGCUAUAUAUACGUACAUAAGGUAUAUAUAUGUACACAUAUACACCUGCUGGCAAGCGAAACAGGAGAGGAAAGGUAUCCGAUACGUUACGAGCGUGAAUGAAUUGAAUUAAGAACAUUAUUCUAAAAUACAAAACCAUUACUUUAUACAAGAGUAGCGUGGUAGCUAUAUGGGUAAGGCGUACUGUUCCAGUGGAGCCGGGAGUGUGAUGUGCAUUGGGGCGUGAAAUGUUGGCCAGCCUAUCCCUCUCGCCCGUGAGGCAAAACCGAUUACAGUAAAACGAGUUUGAUCCUUGCGUCUGUUUUCACUAUCGAGAUUUGUUCUUAUUAGCUAUUAGGUGUACUAGGAUUUUGAAGCUGAUUGAAAAGUUCCACGGUCACGUUGCUAAUUUCUUCUAACGAUAGGCAAUAGUCCAUUAUAUGAUUGAAAAGUUAAAGAUUCAUUUGAAAAAAUCCCUCAGGCGAUUCAACAAUCCCAUCAUAUGAAUCGAAACCCUGAAAAUCACAAGUGAAUGCAGAAUUCCAUAAUCAUAAUGCGAUUUUCCUUCGGCUAUAUGCAAAAUUCCAUUAUAUGAUUGUAAAGUUUGCAAUACCAUUACAUAAAUUCAUGAAGCAAUUCUUGAAUGAAUUAAGGGUCAUGAAUUCUAGCGGCGUUAUGAAACAGGGAUAAUGAGGGCCAGAAGCGUAUAAGAGACCCGUGGUGAAUGGGUAGGAUGAGUCUUGGUGGUGAUCUUCUCUUUCUUGACUCAAAAACUUGCGGUGGUCAUCUGAUGGUUUUCUCUACGUAGUUGGAUACCGAGUCUUCACUACGGGGGAGCAAUCCGGAUAGGAUUUGAUUAAAAUAAUUAUUUUCCUUCCACAAAGUCCCUUAGACAUGUUCUCUUGGAUGAGGCUCUUUGAACAACAAAUCCUAUGGCAGCUGCAUACGUCGCCUAUAGGUAUACUCGUCACUGAAAGAAGCUAAAUCUUCUUAUAUGCAGGAUCUCGACUAGUUGCGCAUUUUAAGGUACUGUAGCCAUUUUCAAGGAAUCGCACGAGGAUUCAAAGACUCUGAUCCUAUGAUCCGAUCCGAUCCUUUACCAGAUGAUCGUAAUUAGAAUAUUGAUGGCUUCUACAAGCGAAAGAGGUCUCAGAGACCCAAAGCCUGCGUAAAUAAACGAUUAAAAAAUCGAUGAUGGCUAGGACAAUGGCCUCUCAGGAGUAUUGAUUAAACCUGGACGAGUUCCAGUUCCAUCUUAAAGUCACACAAUUGUUAUUGAAAAAUUACGAGAGGGUUAUAUUUAACUUUAACAAAUAGUUGGAUCAUGCUGAGACAUUUCUAGUACACCUAAUACGUCCGAUCGCUUCGUCCUUUUUUCAACUUCAAGAAUAUUUGGAAACUAAAUUUUAUCUUGCUCUUUUCGUAAAUCAUUUUUUUCUAAUAAUGAAUAUAGCUGCGCACGUGAUGGAAACAUGGCGAACAUCAAUUUAAGUAUCUUAUUCUCAUCCCUGAAGCUUUACCGUGCGUGUAAAGAGGCAGUCUUUUUUCGAUAAAUUAUUACAAACUUGUUAAUUGACUUAUGCUUAUGCUUUCCUUCUGCUAUCUUAGCUUCCUGCCAACUCUUCCGUAUGUACAAAAAAAAAGUUAAAUGUUUAGGCGUUACCAAAAUCUUCCCACUUCUUUGUAUCCAGCUGUUGCAGCAUGUUGAUAAAUUCUAAUAGCGUACAUUUUUAAUUAGGACAUAAAAGAACCCACAGCAAAAAAAAGCAGUUAUAUUUAUUUUCCGGAAAGAGGAAGAAGCAUUAAAGGUUAAGGAAUAUAUUACCAUAGGUUACAAGCAUGGGACAAAGAAUAGGGGUAACAGCAAAAGGGCGAUGACCUUUAAUGUUUUCUGUUGGUUCUUGAACCACGUGUUAUGGAUUCAACAUAAGGCGAUGAAAAUUGGAGAUGCAAAAGAUGAAGCAAACCAGCGCUCUCUCUGUCUCGCUCUCUAUUCACACAGACACGUCAAAUGCAUUGAUAUUAUAAAUUUAAUAUUGAAAAUAGACUGAUAUAUCUAUAGAAGAGUGUGGCGACGAUUGGCAUUACCUUAUCGGGGAAGAGGCGAACUCACACGGCUAGGUAGGUGAGAACGAAUCCAACCGAAACCCGUGACCAGCUUCAGAGCCUCAAAGCACGCUACUGAAGGCGCUUUAAAUAAGCAAGUAACGAGCAGAGCAGCUGCCAGCAAGCUUCGGCUUCCUUAGCCAAAGCUAUGGAUGAUAGCCAACGACGCAUCAAUGUUCGCGCUGUGUACUGUUCGUGUGUGUGUGUGUGUGCGCGCGCGCGUAAAGAAACCCGAAGGGGCAAUGGUCCCUCGGGAAGUUAAAUCGAAACCCGAAACAGACGCUACAAGUUGCUGCCAGUUGCUUUCAAAUUGCUUGUGCGUAAGCUCCGUUGAACGAAACAAAACAAAAAAGCUUCUGUGUGCUCCCACGUGUCCGUCUCUUGACGACGAGAAGGCAUUGCUUUGUGUCUACCGGUUUUCUUUUGGUUUCGUUGGUGAGCUCUUGUUUACCCAACCCUACACACGUACAAAAUGGGAAAACUUACGACUAAUCAAACGAAAAUUGUUGUACGAAAAAGAAAGUGUGAAAAAUUGCGAAAAAAAGUUCACGCGGGACUUGUUCAAAAGCGAAGAGAGCGAGGAUCAAAUCAAACACCCGUAAACAAAACUCCUCACCAACAGGAAGAACCAGACGCGGGAUGUAGGCGCGCGGCCUGGGGCAAGUCAUAAUUGUUUUCCAGGCCACGGAUGCAAAAACAGCGAAAUGAUUGAAUAAAAUGAUUUUUGUUUAACAGUUUUCA